UCCUGCGGGAAUUGUAAUUUGAAGGUUUCGUGGUCUGAGUCGGCCGCGCCCAAGUCCAUUGGAACAUGGCGCCUGGGAGGGUGAGAGCCCCGUAUGGCGCACGCCGACUCUUUGCACCGCGGCUCCGACGAGUCGAGUUGUUUGGGAAUGCAGCUCUAAGUGGGUGGUAAAUUCCAUCUAAAGCUAAAUAUUGGCGAGAGACCGAUAGCGAACAAGUACAGUGAUGGAAAGAUGAAAAGCACUUUGAAAAGAGAGUGAAACAGCACGUGAAAUUGUUGAAAGGGAAGGGCUUGCAAGCAGACACGGUUUUACCGGGCCAGCGUCGAAAAGGGGGGAGGAACAAGAACUCGAGAAUGUGGCGCGCACCUUCGGGCGCGCGUGUUAUAGCUCGUGUUGACGCCUCCAUCCCUUUUCGAGGCCUGCGAUUCUAGGACGCUGGCGUAAUGGUUGCAAGCCGCCCGUCUUG
rnacentral:rRNA from 1 species